CCUACGGGUGGCAGCAGGGGGGAAUAUUGGGCAAUGGGCGCAAGCCUGACCCAGCAACGCCGCGUGAAGGAAGAAGGCUUUCGGGUUGUAAACUUCUUUUAAGAGGGAAGAGCAGAAGACGGUACCUCUUGAAUAAGCCACGGCUAACUACGUGCCAGCAGCCGCGGUAAUACGUAGGUGGCAAGCGGUGUCCGGAUUUACUGGGUGUAAAGGGCGUGCAGCCGGGAAGACAAGUCAGAUGUGAAAUCCCGCGGCUCAACCGCGGAACGGCAUUUGAAAAUGUUUUUCUUGAGUACCGGAGAGCUCAUCGUACUUCCUUUUGUAGCGGUUACUUGCUUAGCUAUCCGG
rnacentral:rRNA from 1 species